CGUGUUCGAAAGGGAAACAGCCCAGACCACCAGCUAAGGUCCCAAAAUAUAUGUUAAGUGGAAAAGGAUGUGGCGUUGCCCAGACAACUAGGAUGUUGGCUUAGAAGCAGCCAUCAUUUAAAGAGUGCGUAAUAGCUCACUAGUCGAGUGACACUGCGCCGAAAAUGUACCGGGGCUAAACAUAUUACCGAAGCUGUGGAUUGUCCUUUGGACAAUGGUAGGAGAGCGUUCUAAGGGCGUUGAAGCAUGAUCGUAAGGACAUGUGGAGCGCUUAGAAGUGAGAAUGCCGGUGUGAGUAGCGAAAGACGGGUGAGAAUCCCGUCCACCGAUUGACUAAGGUUUCCAGAGGAAGGCUCGUCCGCUCUGGGUUAGUCGGGUCCUAAGCUGAGGCCGACAGGCGUAGGCGAUGGAUAACAGGUUGAUAUUCCUGUACCACCUAUA
rnacentral:rRNA from 1 species